rnacentral:lncRNA from 1 species
AUGGCGCUCUUACCUCUCGCUCUCCCCUCACGGAGCGGCGGGAAACGGCGGUGCCCUCACGGAGCGGCGGUGCCCUCACGGAGGAGCGGCUGUGCCCUCACGGAGCGGCGGUGCCCUCACGGAGCGGCGGUGCCCUCACGGAGAGGCGGCUGUGCCCUCACGGAGAGGCGGCUGUGCCCUCACGGAGCGGCGGCUGUGCCCUCACGGAGUGGCGGGAAACGGCUGUGCCCUCACGGAAUGACGGUGCCCUCACGGAGCGGCGGUGCCCUCACGGAGGAGCGGCUGUGCCCUCACGGAGAGGCGGCUGUGCCCUCACGGAGCGGCUGUGCCCUCACGGUGCGGCUGUGCCCUCACGGAGAGGCGGCUGUGCCCUCACGGAGCGGCUGUGCCCUCACGGAGAGGCGGCUGUGCCCUCACGGAGCGGCGGGAAACGGCUGUGCCCUCACGGAGAGGCGGCUGUGCCCUCACGGAGGAGCGGCUGUGCCCUCACGGAGAGGCGGCUGUGCCCUCACGGAGAGGCGGGAAACGGCUGUGCCCUCACGGAGCGGCUGUGCCCUCACGGAGGAGCGGCUGUGCCCUCACGGAGAGGCGGCUGUGCCCUCACGGAGCGGCUGUGCCCUCACGGAGCGGCUGUGCCCUCACGGAGGAGCGGCUGUGCCCUCACGGAGCGGCUGUGCCCUCACAGAGCGGCUGUGCCCUCACGGAGGAGCGGCGGUGCCCUCACGGAGAGGCGGCUGUGCCCUCACGGACCGGCUGUGCCCUCACGGAGCGGCUGUGCCCUCACGGUGCGCUGUGCCCUCACGGAGCGGCGGUGCCCUCACGGAGCGGCGGGAAACGGCUGUGCCCUCACGGACCGGCCGUGCCCUCACGGAGAGGCGGGAAACGGCUGUGCCCUCACGGACCGGCUGUGCCCUCACGGAGGAGCGGCUGUGCCCUCACGGAGCGGCUGUGCCCUCACGGAGAGGCGGGAACCGGCUGUGCCCUCACGGAGAGGCGGGAAACGGCUGUGCCCUCACGGACCGGCCGUGCCCUCACGGAGAGGCGGGAAACGGCUGUGCCCUCACGGACCGGCUGUGCCCUCACGGAGGAGCGGCUGUGCCCUCACGGAGCGGCUGUGCCCUCACGGAGAGGCGGGAACCGGCUGUGCCCUCACGGAGAGGAGGGAAACGGCGGUGCCCUCACGGAGCGGCGGUGCCCUCACGGUGCGGCUGUGCCCUCACGGAGAGGCGGGAAACGGCUGUGCCCUCACGGAGAGGCUGUGCCCUCACGGAGAGGCGACUGUGCCCUCACGGAGGAGCGGCUGUGCCCUCACGGAGUAGCGGCUGUGCCCUCACGGAGAGGCGGGACGCAGUUUUCCCUCACGGUACCGGUUUUCCCUCACGGGAUGAGGUUUCCCCUCACGGGACGAGGUUUUUCCCUCACGGAAUGAGGU